UCAAAUUUAUUUCAAAUUUACUCGAAACAAUUCGAAAUAAAACGCCCAUCAUAUAUAAAGACCGCAUAAAGCGGUGGGAAAUCAAAGCCACACUCGGCAGAAAAAGAAAUAAAAGCCAUACUCGACAAUAAACGCAGGAUAAAUAAACGACCUCCUCCCUCCAGAUUUUCACUCCACCUCUCAAGGUUCAAAGUAAAUGUUCCCGGAC
rnacentral:lncRNA from 1 species